rnacentral:tRNA from 1 species
UCCCUGGUGAUCUAGUGGUUAGGAUUCGGCGCUCUCACCACCACGGCCCAGGUUCGAUUCCUGGACAGGGAA